UAAGAAGUGAGCUUUCUUACAAUACGAAACUUUAUCUUGUGGGUAUGUUGAUAGUAUUCCAAGACAACCUCCAGAGAGGAUAAUCACAUGACAAACAUGAUGGCGACGUCCGAGCCGAGACAGUUAAUCUCGUGCGGACGGAAAAACGAUCAAAGUGACGAAAAGACAAAUCUCGUUAAUUCCCGCAUCUGUAGAUGUAUGAGCCAUGCAAAAUUAUAUUCGGAUCACCAAAGUGAGACCAGUGUACCAACCCCUACGCUAUCCGGACGGCUAAAUCAACGUCUCAAGACGCUUUUCAGCUAUUUAUACCACGACGAUAACAUUGUGAUGGUAAAGGCAAUCGCGAUAAUGGCUGUGAUGGUAGCAUAGUGUUGUUUCUGGUGAUGAUGAUACAGUAACAUGAUGGUGAUGGUGGUGUUUUUGUUGCUGAUUCUCUUGGUCGUGAAAAUUGUGAUGGAUUAAAAGAUAAGGACAAGGAUUAACAAGGGAGAUGAUGACAAGGAUUAUUGUCCACUAUUUGGUAUUAACAAUAACAACAAACAUAGAACAUAAUGCACAGUGUUAAAUGCAAAAGUCUGGUAAGCAGCUCAGUGCGUUCCAACGGUAACUUAUUUUGGAAUUAAACAAGUUAAUGGCUGAACACCAACGUUUGGAGCAACAUGAAACGGAUUUUCUUUUAAUUAUAAUUGUUCGCAAUCGAACAACUAA